CCGAGUUUACAACUCCCAACCCCUGUGAACAUACCACUUGUUGCCUCGGCGGAUCAGCCCGCUCCCGGUAAAACGGGACGGCCCGCCAGAGGACCCCUAAACUCUGUUUCUAUAUGUAACUUCUGAGUAAAACCAUAAAUAAAUCAA
rnacentral:misc_RNA from 1 species